CACACCUGUCUCCUGUCGGCCACUGCUGGCGUGUGCUUGAUGAAUGCCGACAGGCCCCGCUCCAGGACGCUCCCAGAGUCCCCCUGGCACGGACAAGGUGCUGUUCCGAGGCCGCUGGCGCUGCGGAGUCCCAGGGGUGAGCCGCUCUCAGCUCCGGGGCUGAGGAGCUUCUAAAGGGCUGGGCCUGGCUUCUGGACCCUUCUCGGAGACGAAACAGCAGCAGGAUUGUCCGGCCAUGGCUGGUUCGACGCUCACAGGAGGUCUUGUCUCACCUGGUUUUCCUGGGAGGCUCUAUGGGCGACUGCAGAACGGGAAGGUUUGUGGCAUCACGGAUGCCGAAGCAGUGAUCCUGGUUAGGUGGGCGAGGGGUAAGUGAAACACAUCUCUUUGGCUUUGUUAACCUGCAUUUAACUCAGAUCCCCAGCAAAUCCCCCUCGGCUGAAGGCGGAGUACUCCACACCUCCAGGGAGCAGGGGCGCAUUAGGAUUUAUUGGCACCCUGGGCACCAAGAAUAUUUGGGCCCCCCGACACUCUGAGGCCCCCAAAUUGUCUGGGGCCCCUGGGCACAGGCCCUGUGGGCCCGUGUGUUAAUCCACCACUGUCAGGGAGGGGUGAGAGGAUCAGCUCCCUUCCCCGAGAGACCUCCCGGGACUGGGAGACCAGGGUUCACACUCCAGCUAUUUCUAAGCCAUAUGACCACAGACACAGAGGCUGCCCGAAGGCGGGGGUGGCUUUCCCGUGGAGCCAGGGCCCGGGGGCUGCGGCACCUGUCACGGCAGGCCAUGCAGCCCUCUGCAGGGAGCACGCUGCAGCCAUGCACGCUGGGGGCUGUAGUCUCUCCCGGCUGCACUGCUCCCCAAGGCUGCAGGUGACUGCAGCGGCCUGGAGCCAGCGUGCAAGGGGCUCCCCAUAGAUCCCCUGGUUUUGCUACAUUGAAGCACAU